rnacentral:rRNA from 1 species
AGGACGAACGCUGGCGGCGUGCUUAACACAUGCAAGUCGAGCGGUAAGGCCUUUCGGGGUACACGAGCGGCGAACGGGUGAGUAACACGUGGGUGAUCUGCCCUGCACUCUGGGAUAAGCCUGGGAAACUGGGUCUAAUACCGGAUAUGACCUGCUCUCGCAUGGGGGUGGGUGGAAAGAUUUAUCGGUGCAGGAUGGGCCCGCGGCCUAUCAGCUUGGUUGGUGGGGUAAUGGCCUACCAAGGCGACGACGGGUAGCCGACCUGAGAGGGUGACCGGCCACACUGGGACUGAGACACGGCCCAGACUCCUACGGGAGGCAGCAGUGGGGAAUAUGCACAAUGGGCGAAAGCCUGAUGCAGCGACGCCGCGUGAGGAUGAAGGCCUUCGGGUUACGUAAACCUCUUUCAGCGAGGACGAAG